rnacentral:lncRNA from 1 species
CCUACAUGGUGCUAGUUCAUUUUGACGCUGCCAAAUCUAUAGCCGAUCCUUAUGCUCGAUCAUCAAUCACCGAAAUUAAAACUGAACUUUGUUGUUCAAGCAUCGAUAAAUACCCUUUUUUAAGCAGUGAAAAAAGAGAGAUCCGAACAUAAUAAGAAUGUAUAAUUACACAUGAAGCCACCUGGAGCGAGAUUACUAAUUACAUAGCGGGUUUGCACUUGAGCAUUAUUGUUUAGUGGAAAGUGGAAGCCUGGAAGGUAUCCUCAGGGAGGCGACCCGGCCAGGACACUGGAAUGUCGUCACCAGCCUUCGGCCAGCUUGAAGAAUCUAUAUACCGUACAUUGAAGAAUAUACGCUACUAGGCAGGUACUGAUCGAGAAAAGAACAGCUAGCGUACAGUACACCGCGCGAUCAUUUGUCCGAUCUGGUAUGUGCAUGUGCCACGAGGCCUCAUACAUGCGCAUGCAGUUCCAAAGUGAUGGCGGAGUGCUCGCAUAUGCAUGCAUCAUGCUGCUGGUAGCUAGCCUACAUGCAUGCAGUGGUAUCUACUGUGUAAAAAAGCUCAUCGCAGACGCGUCUAAAAGGUCAUUACAGAUGCAGGUCUCUAAUAAGGUAUAUGUGAUGACUGGAAAUUCACAGACGUGUAAACACGCGUCUGUGAUGAGUACAUAUAUCACAUACGUGCAUAGACGAAACACAUCUGUAAUAACCCCUACCAAAGACAAGUACAAACAAAACAAUCGCAGAUGAGGAGGGAGUUGUGGCUUCGCCAGAAGAGGAGACUAUGGUGGCACAUGCAGAGGAGCAGGGUGGCGCCGCCGAAGUAGGAGGUGGGGUGGCGGCGGUUGGCAACUCCACGACUAGAGCCGAGAAUAGAGGGCCGGGGACUGCGCGACUGGUGGGUGACUCACGUGGACUUAAGUUGUGAAUUCCUUGGACUUGAUCAUUUUCUUUGGGUCCAUGACCCUCCACUCUCAAACAUGCACUUAUCCUAACAUAGACAUGUCUUCAGAAACCGCGACUAUGAUAUAUGUCCUAGAAGUCUAGUAUUUUUUAGAGCUAACACAUUAUAAACGAGUUUUCUCUAGACACAUUUAUAAUCUCACAACACAUACGCGGCUCACUAUGGGAUACCCAUGCUUUGCCGAGGCAAAGGCCUAAAAACACUCGGCAAAAGACCACACGACAAAAUUUUAGCCGGCAAAGCGGUCUUUGCCGAGUGCUAUUUUUCGGGCACUCGGCAAAGGCUUUGCCGAGUGUCGACACUCGGCAAAGAUAAAAACGAAAAAAAAAACAAAAAAAAUUCCCGAAAUAAAAGAGAUAUUUUUUUGCAGGAGGCCAACGCCCGCUAGCCAAGUUCUAGAAUUUUUUGCGUCUUUGCGGCCCAUGGGAUUCAAACUCGUGACCUCUCGCUCACGUGUCUCCGCUCUUAACCACUGCGCCACACUAUGACUUAUGUUUAUAUUGCAUUUCGGUUCCUUAAAUAUUAUACCAAAUUAUGUGUAAAUUGAUUAUUUGAGGUCCUAAAUGAUUUUAAAUAAAAAAGUUGUCAACUACAGAGUUUCAUAACUUUUUGGGAUCUACAAUUUUUAUUUAGAGAGUUUCUCCAUCCGAGGUCGUUUACAAAUUUUAAACUUCAAAUUUAAGAAAUUCAAACGUAGUUUUUGCAUGGCAAGAUGAUUCCAAAAUAAAAAGUUGUCAACUACUCCCUCCGUCCC